UGCCCAAUAGCUAGCCUACCCUACUAACUUCAACAAAAAACUACCAAUACCCCCACAACCACUUACAACCGAUAAACAAACCAUUUUUAACCCUUAGUAUCAGAGCCAGAAAAGGGUCAAACGAGCAACAGAAAAAGUACCGCAAGGGAACGCUGAAAGAGAAAUGAAAUUAACCCGUAAAAGCCUUAAAAAGCAGAGAUUAAACCUCGUACCUUUUGCAUCAUGAUUUAGCCAGUGAACACCAAGCAAAGAGAACUUUAGUUUGAUAACCCGAAACUAGUAUGAGCUACUCCAAGACAGCCUAAAAUUAAGGGCAAACCCAUCUCUGUGGCAAAAGAGUGGGAAGAGCUUAGAGUAGAGGUGAUAAACCUACCGAAUCUAGUAAUAGCUGGUUGCCUGGGAAAUGGAUAGGAGUUCAGCCUUCCAGAUUCUCCAUUAAUUUAGCGUGCUCCUACGCCAAAAUAUGAACAGAAUUUGAAAGAGUUAGCCAAAGGAGGAACAGCCCCUUAGACAUAAGAUACAACUUUCUCUAGUAGGGUAAAGAUCAUAAUACAUCAAGGUUACUAAUUCUCGUGGGCCUAAAAGCAGCCAUCCUAUCAGAAAGCGUUAUAGCUCAAAUUUAAAUUUUCCCCCAAUUUCGAUAAUUAAAUCUUAACCCACUAUUUAUACCAGGCCUCCCCAUGCUCACAUGGGGGUGACCAUGCUAAUAUGAGUAAUAAGAGAGGUCAUGCCUCUCUCCUUGCACACGUGUAAACCGGAUUGGACCAACCACCGAAAAUUAACGGCCCCACACAAAGAGGGAACUGAAUAUUACAACUACCCCGCUAGAAAAACAGCCAAUCUAAACCCGUUAAACCAACACAGGAGUGCCCCUAAGGAAAGACUAAAAGAAAAAGAAGGAACUCGGCAAACACACCAAGCCUCGCCUGUUUACCAAAAACAUCGCCUCUUGCAAAAUAACUAUAAGAGGUCCCGCCUGCCCAGUGACCAAGUGUUCAACGGCCGCGGUAUUUUGACCGUGCGAAGGUAGCGCAAUAACUUGUCCUUUAAAUGAAGACUAGUAUGAAUGGCAUCACGAGGGCUUAGCUGUCUCCUUUUUUAAGUCAAUGAAAUUGAUCUUCCCGUGCAAAAGCGGGAAUAAGAACAUAAGACGAGAAGACCCUGUGGAGCUUUAGACACUAAGACAGACCCCGUAAGAAUGCCUCAAUAAGGGCUAAAACUAAAAGGUAUCUGGCCUGAUGUCUUUGGUUGGGGCGACCGCGGAGAAUAAAAAAACCUCCCCUCCGCGCGGACUGGAGGAACCCACCCACCACACACCCCUCCAAAAUUAAGAGUUACCACUCGAACUAGCAGAACUUUCUGACCACUGUGAUCCGGCGCAAAGCCGAUCAACGAAUCAAGUUACCCCAGGGAUAACAGCGCAAUCCCCUUCUAGAGUCCAUAUCGACAAGGGGGUUUACGACCUCGAUGUUGGAUCAGGACAUCCUAAUGGUGCAGCCGCUAUUAAGGGUUCGUUUGUUCAACGAUUAAAGUCCUACGUGAUCUGAGUUCAGACCGGAGAAAUCCAGGUCAGUUUCUAUCUAUGAAAUUCUUUUUCUAGUACGAAAGGACCGAAAAAGAGAGGCCCAUGCUGCAAGUACGCCUCCUCCUCACCUAUUGAAGGCAACUAAAAUAGCCAAGAGGAAACCUCCCCACCACUUAGAAAAAGUGUGU
rnacentral:rRNA from 1 species